rnacentral:rRNA from 1 species
UAGGGAAUCUUCCGCAAUGGGCGAAAGCCUGACGGAGCAACGCCGCGUGAGUGAAGAAGGAUUUCGGUUCGUAAAGCUCUGUUGUUAGGGAAGAAUGAUUGUGUGGUAACUAUACACAGUAGAGACGGUACCUAACCAGAAAGCCACGGCUAACUACGUGCCAGCAGCCGCGGUAAUACGUAGGUGGCAAGCGUUGUCCGGAAUUAUUGGGCGUAAAGCGCGCGCAGGUGGUUUAAUAAGUCUGAUGUGAAAGCCCACGGCUCAACCGUGGAGGGUCAUUGGAAACUGUUAAACUUGAGUGCAGGAGAGAAAAGUGGAAUUCCUAGUGUAGCGGUGAAAUGCGUAGAGAUUAGGAGGAACACUAGUGGCGAAGGCGGCUUUUUGGCCUGUAACUGACACUGAGGCGCGAAAGCGUGGGGAGCAAACAGGAUUAGAUACCCUGGUAGUCCACGCCGUAAACGAUGAGUGCUAAGUGUUGGUCUCAUAAGAGAUCAGUGCUGCAGCUAACGCAUUAAGCACUCCGCCUGGGGAGUACGACCGCAAGGUUG